GAUGAACGCUGGCGGCGUGCCUAAUACAUGCAAGUCGAGCGAACGGACGAGAAGCUUGCUUCUCUGAUGUUAGCGGCGGACGGGUGAGUAACACGUGGAUAACCUACCUAUAAGACUGGGAUAACUACGGGAAACCGGAGCUAAUACCGGAUAAUAUUUUGAACCGCAUGGUUCAAAAGUGAAAGACGGUCUUGCUGUCACUUAUAGAUGGAUCCGCGCUGCAUUAGCUAGUUGGUAAGGUAACGGCUUACCAAGGCAACGAUGCAUAGCCGACCUGAGAGGGUGAUCGGCCACACUGGAACUGAGACAUGGUCCAGACUCCUACGGGAGGCAGCAGUAGGGAAUCUUCCGCAAUGGGCGAAAGCCUGACGGAGCAACGCCGCGUGAGUGAUGAAGGUCUUCGGAUCGUAAAACUCUGUUAUUAGGGAAGAACAUAUGUGUAAGUAACUGUGCACAUCUUGACGGUACCUAAUCAGAAAGCCACGGCUAACUACGUG
rnacentral:rRNA from 1 species